UACGUAGGGGGCAAGCGUUGUCCGGAUUUAUUGGGCGUAAAGAGCGUGUAGGCGGCCAAACAGGUCAGCUGUGAAAACUCGAGGCUCAACCUCGAGACGUCGGUUGAAACCGUUUGGCUAGAGUCCGGAAGAGGAGAGUGGAAUUCCCGGUGUAGCGGUGAAAUGCGCAGAUAUCUGGAGGAACACCGGUGGCGAAGGCGGCAUCCUGGACCGGCAUUGACGCUGAGGCGCGAAAGCCAGGGGAGCAAACGGG
rnacentral:rRNA from 1 species